rnacentral:rRNA from 1 species
UACGAAGGGGGCGAGCGUUGUCCGAAGUUACUGGGCGUAAAGCGCGCGUAGGCGGUCUCUUAAGUCCGGGGUGAAAGGUUCAGCGCUCAACGCGAACAGUGCCCUGGAGACUGGGGGACUUGAGUGUGGGAGGGGGCAGUGGAAUUCCGGGUGUAGCGGUGAAAUGCGUAGAUAUCCGGAGGAACACCGAUGGCGAAGGCAGCCAUCUGGACCGACACUGACGCUGAGGCGCGAAAGCGUGGGGAGCGAACAGG